rnacentral:rRNA from 1 species
AUUGAACGCUGGCGGCAGGCCUAACACAUGCAAGUCGAACGAGUGGCGGACGGGUGAGUAAUGUCUGGGAAACUGCCUGAUGGAUGGGGAUAACUACUGGAAACGGUAGCUAAUACCGCAUACCAUUCCAUUUGCCCUGAUGGAAUUCGCUAGUUGGUGGGGUAACGGCUCACAAAGUCGACGAUCCCUAGCUGGUCUGAGAGGAUGACCAGCCACACUGGAACGGAGACACGGUCCAGACUCCUACGGGAGGCAGCAGUGGGGAAUAUUGCACAAUGGGCGCAAGCCUGAUGCAGCAAUGCCGCGUGUAUGAUGAAGGCCUUCGGGUUGUAAAGUACUUUCAGCGGGGAGGCGUUACCCGCAGAAGAAGCACCGGCUAACUCCGUGCCAGCAGCCGCGGUAAUUC